UACGUAGGGCGCAAGCGUUAUCCGGAAUUAUUGGGCGUAAAGAGCUCGUAGGCGGUUUGUCGCGUCUGCCGUGAAAGUCCGGGGCUCAACUCCGGAUCUGCGGUGGGUACGGGCAGACUAGAGUGCGGUAGGGGAGAUUGGAAUUCCUGGUGUAGCGGUGAAAUGCGCAGAUAUCAGGAGGAACACCGGUGGCGAAGGCGGAUCUCUGGGCCGUAACUGACGCUGAGGAGCGAAAGCAUGGGGAGCGAACAGG
rnacentral:rRNA from 1 species